rnacentral:rRNA from 1 species
GAUUCUGGCUCAGGUUGAACGCUAGCUACAGGCUUAACACAUGCAAGUCGAGGGGCAGCAUUGGGAUAGCUUGCUAUUCAGAUGGCGACCGGCGCACGGGUGAGUAACGCGUAUCCAACCUUCCUGCCAGUAGGGAACAGCCCGGCGAAAGUCGGAUUAAUGCCCUAUGUUCUUCAAUGCGGACAUCUAAGUUGAAGGAAAGAUUCAUCGCUGGCAGAUGGGGAUGCGUCCGAUUAGCUUGCCGGCGGGGUAACGGCCCACCGGGGCGACGAUCGGUAGGGGUUCUGAGAGGAAGGUCCCCCACACUGGUACUGAGACACGGACCAGACUCCUACGGGAGGCAGCAGUGAGGAAUAUUGGUCAAUGGGCGUAAGCCUGAACCAGCCAAGUAGCGUGCCAGGACGACGGCCCUACGGGUUGUAAACUGCUUUUAUGCGGGGAUAAAGUGCGGCACGUGUGCCGCUUUGCAGGUACCGCAUGAAUAAGGACCGGCUAAUUCCGUGCCAGCCGCAGC